AAUGUUGAUUACAUUGAAUGAUAACGCCAAGAAAUAAAACAACAUAACAAAAUGGUUGCAUACAAAAAAAAGCACGACAAGUGGCUCAGUUGAUUGAAAAAUGAUUGUUGUUUACUAAUAGAGUAAUUAACAUACGCAUUUCUCAUGUAUAACGUACUCCUUUUUUGAUACUAUUUAUGAUAGUUUUUUUUGUGUUUUGUUGAUUCAUUGAGAGGUAGUAUUUGAAAACAAAAUAAUCAAGCUGAUUUAAACGAUAUUCAAUCAACUACUCGGGUAAUUUCCUGGGUGUAAACUAUUACAAUUUUAUAAAGUCAUUCUUGUGUUGUUUUCCUAUUAAGCUUGGAUUGUUUUUGCUUCUCCUUUAUUAUUCAAUUGUAUUGAAACAAAAGCCUUUAAAAUGAGGUAAAAUGUGAAUCAAAUGAAUUUUAUAAAGAGAAGCAAAAAUUGGAAUAAAAAAUUCAAUUUCUAAUAGCAACUUGUAAAUUGUUAGCAAUAUUACUCUUGCCAAUGGGUUAACCUUAUUAAUUUAUUACAAGUUGAUGAAAUAAGAUCAAAAAUUGAGUAAGCAAAUUGUUGUUUAACUGGCAAUUGUUGGUGAUGAUUUAGCAUUUGUAUUGUUUUUGAUUGCCUCGAUUGUGACUCGACUUGAUUAUUUGUGUCUAUCAUUCAUUAUUACACACCAUAAUGAUAAUCAACAUCUUCUGUGACUUUAAGUCAGUGCAAAGCUAUUAAAAUAUGUAUUAAAUUGUUUAUUAGAAGGUCAUUUGAGGAUUAUCAUUGUUAAAUUUUUACUCACCUUUAUUAUUAGUGUUAGUAUUUUUUAUCGUGACAAUCAAUUUUGAUUCAAUUCUCCCUUCUUUUCACUCUCAGUUCAAUAACCUGUUUUAACCUGAACCUCACCAUUAUGAGUUUGCAAUAUUUUUACAGCCAGUCAAAGGUUUCAUCUUAUGGUUACACCAAUGAGCAGUUGAUUGUCACCGUUUAUUGGAUUUGUGUCUGCUUUUCUGGCUGAAAGAUGAUUAUCAUGGGAAUCUUGCAUGUAUGCUAAUUAAAUUAAUUUAAAGACGAUUAAAUUAGACCAGAAUGGCCAUUUGCACGGAAACAAGUCAAUCGUAACACCUGUUUAAAUCAGAUUAUCCAACUCUGGUUUGCUAUGGUUUUUUUUGUACUACCGGUUCAAAUUUAAUUCAAUUUCGCACUGGUUCAAUUAGUCGCCGAUAAAUGAGGACAGAUUAAAAUCUUUUUAUUAAUAAAAGAGUUAAUCUGUAAAUUAGCAGACUGGUCAUUAGCAUAAAGUCAACAGCAGACUAACCAUUUGUCUGAUUCAGUCAAAAUUGACAUCAAUUUGGCCAGUAUAAAUACUAUUGUCUUCAGACUGACAAUUGGUUUACCUGAUAUGACUGUUUAGAUCAACUGAAAUGAAGAUGUUCAUCAAACUAUUUGUCUUAUCUGUUUUGUUUUCAUCUUGUUUGGCCGUGUCUUUACCAAAGUCGAUUCUUUUGAAAUUAUGUAAAACUGCAAUAUCAGUUGGUAAUUUGGGUUUAAAUGACGAUGAAUUUAUCUUAGCAAUGAAUUAUAUUGGAAACAACUACCUGAAUCAACUUGAUUUGCCUGCUAACUUUAAACAAAUGCCUAACCAAAAUUGUAAUUUUCAACUUGCUAUGACUAAUUCUGGUGGACUUCAAAUUAUGUUAGUGCCUUUACGUCCAAUGAUGGGUUCGGGAAUGAACACAGGAUUGCUGAAAGAGCCUCAGUCCAAUAUUUCUGCUUUUGAACCAACCAGUAAUUCUUCGGUUUCUGAUUCUGUUUCAAAAGUCGUUUCAUCACUGACUUCUGAUUACUGUGAAAAUGUUGAUUUACCAGAAUCAGUUGAAAUUGAAAAUCAAGUUGAUGUGCAAAAAGCUGUGCUCAGAAUUAUAUCAAGUCUCCUAUCAACAUAAAAAGCUAUGCUAAUUGAAAUUGAAAGCUAUUUAAGUGCUGUUGACAAACAAAUUUUCACCCAAUAGAUCUUCACAGAUGAAAACAACUUUUUAUUGGAUGAAUUUAAACUUUAUUGAUGUUUCGAAUCAAGUAUUUAAUUACAAAUAAAAAUCGCAUUUUUAUCAACAAAAA